ensembl:lncRNA
AAGAGAAGAGAAGACCCUGCUGAUUGCUGAAAAGGAAGAAAGAUAAACAUGACACUAAGAUGGGAAACAGAAGUUCUGAGGGGGAGAUUUCAAAAUUUCCCAGGGAGAUAUGUGUGUGUGUGGGGAGAUGGGGCUGAAGAUGGAGUGAGGUCCCGGGACUUUCCCACAGCUUUUGCAAGGCCUGUCACACCUUUCCAGGCUUUUUCAAUAGAAAACAGUCACAGUCCUUCUUCCCAGAGCACAGAAGACUUUGGAAAUUUUGGGAGUGUUUGGAAAUCAUUGCUGUUUUAAAGAAAAAUACGAACAAGAAUCACCCAGAAGCUUUUGGAGCUAGUUUUCCCAGGUGUUCUGGGUCAUAUCAUGCCCAACUGAAAUGCACCUAAAGCAGUUUGAGAGAGUGUUUCACACGGGCCAGAGCAGCCCUCUCAGGUCAAAUUCUGAAUUGCUAAGUGAUGACUUGUUUCCUCCUGCAACGGAAAUUAGAAAACCAGAAAACAGACCAAGAAAGACCAGAGCUUGCCUGCCUCCUGUAAAUAGUGCAAAGACGGGCUGGGGCUUGCAAGCGGGCUCAUGCAAUGCUCCUGCACUGCUGGAGGUGCAACACUGGUGGGCAGGGAUGCUGACACAAACCAGUUCCUGAGCUGUGGCUCCACUCACAGCUCUCCUCACCACCUCCUAGCCCCACAUCACAGCGCUCUUGUUUUUUUUCAUCACUAGCCUCAGAGCCUUUGUUCUCCUGUGACACUCAGUCGGUCUCAGUCUGACAGAGUGCAGCCCCAUGCUCAGACAUGACGCAGGAUCCCACAGCCUUUUGGGGGCUUUUGGGGGAGCUGUGAAGAAGAGAAAAGAAAGCGAUCUCAGGAGGUGCCGGUGUGACCACACAGGACUUUGGCAGCUCCCCAGAGUCACGUAUAAACCAAAACUUUUCUCUGUAAGGACAGGAUGGAGGUUCACAGCCUGAAUGUUGAACUGGGACAGGAAGUGGGUCCAGGUCCCAGGAGAAGCCUUCAGCCAGAGGGCCAGCUAUACCCCUUUGGGUCUGGAUCCUGCGCUCUGCCCUGGCUCUGCUCCUCCUGAUGUCUGCCCCCCUCAUCACCCUCGUCCUGGAGAGACGCACCCACUGGGCCACCAGAGCCAGCCCCACUGGGGCAGCCUAGAGACCUCGCUGCCCCCAUUGCCCUCUGAUGUUCUCACUGUCCCGGCUCCCAGCUGUCCGCAGGCCCUUUCCCCAUUUCCAAGCAUGACCCAUAUCAACCUCAGGCUCCUGCUGUGGCUGGGUUCAAGCCAGCAGCCUGGAGGGAUGCCCCAGGGCCAUGCUGCCAUUGCUGGGCUUUACUUCACUCACCCCUGCUCUGUCCUCACUUCCCUGAUGAAGGGUAAUUGACUCUCUCAUCCCACUAGGUGCAUAAAACCCCACAGUCAUGUGGCUGACCCUCCUGCUCGCAGAAAGCAGCCUCCUUGCUGCAUGGUCCACCCCUGCGGCUCUGGAGGACACAGGGCCUGGUUUCACAUGCUCCACACACUGAUGCUCUCCAGGUCCUGCAUCACUGCAGUGCUUCCCAUCACCCAAGGCUGGUGCUGGCAGCCAAGGGCAAGUCCCUGGGCACUGCUGGGGGGUUACGGUGUCCUGUGUGGAGGCACUUUCAUCUGCAGGGGGUCUGUGGAAGUGGAGCUAUAAAGGAUUUGUUCAAAAGUCGUCAGUU